GAAAACCUCUCUAUGGUCCACCUAUUGUAAGUCCACGUUUUCCUGAGUUGUUGAGGUGACUCCUUCAGGUUUCUGGGCUGCCAAGGCACAGUAAAUAAUGGGUGAAGUAAUACUUGGAAGACUAAGGCUGUGCUUUGUUAUCUUCAGAAACACACUUCAAGGUGGAGAAUUGCGCACAGGAAGUUUAAAGGGGAGUCAGCUCCACAGCAGCACCUGCGUGGGAAGGAGUUACUGUGAACUUGUACAGGGAGUUUAUGAAGAGAUAGUGCUGUUUGGUUUGGGCCUUGAAAGACAGCUGAGAUAUCAUCUGGUAAGAUGAGGUGUAUAACCUCACCCCUUCCGGCAGUGCAGC